UCCUCCCUCAAACCUCGUGUUUGGUGUUGGACCGCGUUGGCCGAGCGACCAACUGGUCUCAAAGACAAUGACGGCGUCCGUGGGACCCUCGGUGCAACGAGCUUCUAAGGAGCACGCGUCGAGUUUCAAGGACCCUCCGGGCCGGUCUUAACCUCUAUCUUCUCA
rnacentral:misc_RNA from 2 species